AUUUUCUUGAAAGUAAACAGUUAAAGAGAUACAUAUAAGUAUAUAACAUGUUUUUCCGGCGAAAUUCACAGCCUUUCCGGCGAGCUACAUCAUGCUCAGUCACACUCGACCCUCAGGUAAACUCUAAAGAUCUUCUUCCUAUCUAGUUGCUAUCACUGGCUCUAUCUAAACUUUGUCUAACAUUUUCGGAAAAACAGUCUAUUUCCCCACAAUAACUAUGACAUCAUGCCAGAUAGAGCCCGAACUAUGACUACAAUCCAGUUGUCCCCGAAAAGAUACUUUUCGAUCUAUAUCUCCCCAAAAUCGAUAGUUUUUAUCUAUUUCCCCAUAUAUUUGGGUUUAAUCGGUUUGCUGACCAAACCCAAUAAAAAUUCACUCAACCCGAUACCAAACCACUUUAUAUGUCAAGCCUCUUUAAAAAAAAAAGAAAAAAA
rnacentral:sRNA from 1 species